rnacentral:tRNA from 1 species
ACAGGUAAGGGCUGUUAUUCUCAGUCGUUAGACUCAUAAUCUAAAGAUAACCCAAGAGUAAGAAAGGGUUUACUUGUA